GGAACAGCAAAGGGGCCAGGUGGUGCCUCAGCAGCAGAGAUGGGCACCUGUGUAGCUUAUUACCUAAUCAGCUUUUAACACAAAGAAGAAACAGAUUUUCCACCAAAAUUCUCUGCUGUUCAGUUAAAUAAACUUUUCAGUUUGAAACAGGAAAGAGGAAUAUUGCUGAAGUCUUUUCAAGGGUCUUUUUUUCCUCCCCUUUUUUUGGGAUGUGGAUGAAGAAAGCCUAUGAGAGCCUGUCCUGGAGCCUAAAACUUGGAGGCACGCUGGCAUGAAGCCAAAGUGGAUCAAACUGACAUUUUCGUAUUUGUAUGCAAAGCUUCUUUACUUUAAAGAGAGAUUUUUGGCACAAGGAGAACAACUCUGGCCCACAUGAUCCUUAAGGAUUUAUUCUUGCUGCUGGCCCUGUGUAUGGAGAAGGCACUGAGCCCCAUAUAACGGCUUAUGGAAAACGGUGAUUUCUUUUAAAGCUUCCUUCAGUCACUUUAACCUGUGGCCCACAGACAGUCAAAGUGAUGUCUCACUGCUAUGACUUGGCAGUUUUCUCAUGGUUUUACCUACCAAUGCUGCAUCCUGUUUAGAUCAGCAGUAUCCUUGUCCUUAAGCUCAAGCCCUGGCAACGGUGAUGAUGGAAAUGCCAGUACUGCCUCAAUAUGUCACUUCACAUUGGUCUCCUGAGACAAGAAGGCCACUUGUUUCCAGAAAGGCACAAUAAUUUGUGUCAGCUCGUUAAGCUGGCAUACUGCUGAUUCAGGCAUUGAGCUCUAACAGAGCACUUUGUCCCAGCUCUGUAAUGGCCUGUCCUUUGUUUUCCCUAAGGGAUAACUAGGAUAAAUUCCUGGAGGGAAAGGUCAAAGAACUCAGGAAAGAUUGUUAUUGUCAAUCUGAAUUAAAACUGAUGCUGGAAAUAUAAGAUUUGAAUGCAGCUUUCAAUAACUGGAAGGGAAAAAAAGUAACCUAUCUCUGGGAGUAUGUGUAAAUCUUAAGCUCGUGACAGACUACAGUUUCUGCCUGUAUCCAAGUGCCUUAGAAGGAAGGAGGGAAGAAUUUAACAGAUUAGGAAUGGAACUUGUUAACAGCUUUAUUAAUUCAUUUUUGAGACUAAGAGAGGAAGUUUAUAAAAAAUACGAUAAGGAGAAAAUGCUAAGUGGUCACAGCAAGAUCUUACGCCAGAUAAUUUUGCAAGAGGUGGUAGAUAAUACAAGAAGAGCUGAUUCAAGGAGGUCAAGCAGGACAAUUUUUUGGAGGAUUUGUCUGUGGUUUUGGAUGAUGGGUGGUAUUAAGUAGCUUCUGAAAAAACUACGUAGGGCAGAUGUUCGAGACAGUGGAUCUUAGUGUAUGCUGCAUUCUAGAACUAAGAAGAAAUGGGUGCAGUGUUUUGUUUUCACUUUAUAUCUGCCUGGGUUCAUUAAUUGCAGUUGCUUUUCAGAAGCCUGAAUAGCUGAGACUAGGAGAGUGUGAGAGAGGAGACAGCAAGCACAUUCCUGAGCUGAAAUUACAGCUUAGAAAUUGGUCAAGACUACCUAAUUUUGCAGGGAGAAUCAUAAUGUUUUGCGGAAGGUGGGGAGAGUUGCUUCACAAUAACAGUCCUUUGAUCUCCUGAUAUUAAACAAACUAACUUUUGCAGAUGAGACUGCAGCACCAAUUUAUGUGCUUAACUGGAUGAAGCACUUUAAUACAGGUGUACUUUCAUAACCUCUCCUAUGCAUGCUUCAUCUGCCGCUCCUUUUUACUUUAAAUAGUUGCAAAUAUUGCUAGAGAAGCUGAAAAUGGCCUCACCAUUCAGUUUUCCUGUUAACUGGCAAAUUAGAAAACCCUUCCAUUUUCUGAAUGCUGUAUUUUGCUGACUGCUUGUUUUGAUUUGGUAGUUUAAAAGCAUCUAUAUGAAACUCUCAUCAUAAGAUAUAACUAUUGAGCCACACUUCUCUGUAUCAAACAAAAAGCUGAGGGGGCUGAGCAACAUUUCUUGGUGGGUUUAUACACCUUUUUCUUUGAUAAUCAUGAACCAGUUAAGAAAACAGUCUUUUCUGGAGAAAUUAAAAUUUUAUUGCAGAAUCUUGCAAAAGUGGAGUUGAAACUGAGUAACCAGGUGAAGAUCUUGACCUCUUGCUCAAAUUUGCAAAACAGAUCCUGAAUAAAUUUAUUUUUGAGAUUUGUGGUCCUAUGCCUUCUGUGCCAGAAACAAUUACUUUAUUUUCACUUACACCUACAGAAUGCCAAGCUUGAUUCUUGCUGGGAUCAGAAAAUCCAAAAUACCAUCAGAAAGCAUGAGAUUGACAAAAGUUCUCAACUUCUUGCCAGAAUUACACAUGAAGUUUAAGACUUC